rnacentral:rRNA from 1 species
GCGUAACACGUAAGCAACCUGCCCCAAAGACCGGGACAACGUUCCGAAAGGAGCGCUAAUACCGGGUGUGCCCAUCGGGUGACAUCGCCUGUUGAGUAAAUCGAGCAAUCGGCUUUGGGAGGGGCUUGCGGCCUAUCAGCUAGAUGGUGGGGUAACGGCUCACCAAGGCAACGACGGGUAGCUGGUCUGAGAGGAUGGCCAGCCACAUUGGGACUGAGAUACGGCCCAG